GCGUAAAGGGCUCGCAGGCGGUUUCUUAAGUCUGAUGUGAAAGCCCCCGGCUCAACCGGGGAGGGUCAUUGGAAACUGGGAAACUUGAGUGCAGAAGAGGAGAGUGGAAUUCCACGUGUAGCGGUGAAAUGCGUAGAGAUGUGGAGGAACACCAGUGGCGAAGGCGACUCUCUGGUCUGUAACUGACGCUGAGGAGCGAAAGCGUGGGGAGCGAACAGGAUUAGAUACCCUGGUAGUCCACGCCGUAAACGAUGAGUGCUAAGUGUUAGGGGGUUUCCGCCCCUUAGUGCUGCAGCUAACGCAUUAAGCACUCCGCCUGGGGAGUACGGUCGCAAGACUGAAACUCAAAGGAAUUGACGGGGGCCCGCACAAGCGGUGGAGCAUGUGGUUUAAUUCGAAGCAACGCGAAGAACCUUACCAGGUCUUGACAUCCUCUGACAACCCUAGAGAUAGGGCUUUCCCUUCGGGGACAGAGUGACAGGUGGUGCAUGGUUGUCGUCAGCUCGUGUCGUGAGAUGUUGGGUUAAGUCCCGCAACGAGCGCAACCCUUGAUCUUAGUUGCCAGCAUUCAGUUGGGCACUCUAAGGUGACUGCCGGUGACAAACCGGAGGAAGGUGGGGAUGACGUCAAAUCAUCAUGCCCCUUAUGACCUGGGCUACACACGUGC
rnacentral:rRNA from 1 species